rnacentral:rRNA from 1 species
AAAGUUUGAUCCUGGCUCACCURWRUAYAUUGGCGUARUCMUGGUCAUSUGCGMGUCGAGCGGCASCGCGGGGGCAACCCUGGCGGCGAGCGGCGAACGGGUGAKUAACAUAUCGGAACGUACCCAGUCGUGGGGGAUAACUAAUCGAAAGGUUAGCUAAUACCGCAUACGACCUGAGGGUGGAAGCGGGGGACMGUAAGGCCUCKCGCGAUUGGAGCGGCCGAUAUCGGAUUASCUUGUUGGUGAGGUAAAGGCUCACCAAGGCGACGAUCCGUARCUGGUCUGAKAGGACGACCAGCCACACUGGAACUGAGACACGGUCCAKACUCCUACGGGAGGYWGCMGUGGGGAAUUUUGUACAAUGGGGGCAACCCUGAUCCAGCCAUUCCGCGUGAGUGAAGAAGGCCUUCGKRUUGUAAAGCUCUUUCAGCAGGAACGAAACGGUGACCCCUAAUACGGGCUACUAAUGACGGUACCUGAAGAAGAAGCACCGGCUAACUACGUGCCAGCAGCCGCGGUAAUACGUAGGGUGCGAGCGUUAAUCGGAAUUACUGGGCGUAAAGCGUGCGCAGGCGGUUCUAUAAGACAGAUGUGAAAUCCCCGGGCUUAACCUGGGAACUGCGUUUGUGACUGUAGGACUUGAGUGUGGCAGAGGGGGGUGGAAUUCCACGUGUAGCAGUGAAAUGCGUAGAGAUGUGGGAGGAACACCGAUGGCGAAGGCAGCCCCCUGGGUCAACACCGACGCUCAUGCACGAAAGCGUGGGGAGCAAACAGGAUUAGAUACCCUGGUAGUCCACGCCCUAAACGAUGCGAACUAGGUGUUGGGGAAGGAGACUUUUCUUAGUACCGCAGCUAACGCGUGAAGUUCGCCGCCUGGGGAGUACGGUCGCARRAUUAAAACUCAAAGAAUUGACGGGGACCCGCACAGCGGUGAUGAUKKGGAUUAAUUCGAUGCACSCGAAAACUUUACCUACCUUGMCUGUCAGGAGUCCGCUGRAGGUGAUGUCCGAAGGAACCUGAAACAGUKCUGCAUGCUGUCSUYAGCCYCKGUCUGGAAUGUGGUAAUUCCGCCACGAGGCCACCUGCUAUGGCCUCUUCAUGGCCUUAAUGAACGCCGUGUACAUCCGUGAAGAAAUAU